CUGACGGGUGGUUCAUCCCAGCCAAGGUCUGGGAGCACAGGGGCCGUUAUAGAAAUAAACGGAUUUAGAACCAGAAAAAAGCAAAAGCCUUAAUUGGGAAACACUGGUUUCUUUAUUGACUCGGUGAAAUAAUGGAAAGGUCCUGCAAGUAAUACAGACACAGACAGACAUUUCUUUGCUAAUUAGGUAACAGGGAAUCACAAGCCUAUCUGCACCAUGCCAACCAUGCCGACCACAGCGGGCGACCCAUCAGAAUGAUUCAUGGAGAGCAGCUUGCCGUUGGCUCUUUGGACAUGUACAGCUUCAGUACAUAGUGCUGGUAACAGAACCUUCUUGACAGCAGGCGUACGAAGAAUAAACGGAAAACAGCUUGUAGAGCUCUUGGCCCAGUCCCCCACGUAGUAACUGCUCAGAAAAUACUGCCAGUCAGGAUGGAUCAUUGGCUUAAAAAGGGAGACCGGAGGCCCCACUUUCUCAACCCACAGCUGCACCAUUUAUAUUAAAAGAUGCCGAGAAAAAUACUUAUCAGGAAGUUCUCUGACUCAUGGAAGGGAAGGAUGUACUCCAAAGAAGCUGGACAGACUUCAAA